rnacentral:lncRNA from 10 species
GUAUAAUUGAUAGAGGGCUAACUUAGUGUACAUACUUAAUAAAUAUUAAAUAACGAAGGAAGAUACUCAUGCAUAUAUCAGAUCAGAAACUUCUAAAAGUCUCUCAAUUUCAGUGCAUUGCUAUUCAUUUUAAAAAUAUUCAAGUUGGAGAAAUAAUUUUCAGAAACUCCAUUAUUUAGAAAUACUCUAAUCUCAUUUAGUGUUCAUGUGUUUUCUCCUGGGAAGAUGCUUCUAAAUUAUAUAGCUAGGAUUUAAGAUUUUCAAAUAGUUUUCUUAAUAUAUUUCUGAAUAUGAUAGCUGUUGCUGCUUAAACCUAAUCUACAUGAAUAAUUUAAUUGUAGUAAUUUACUCCUCCGGAAUACAGAAAAAUAAUUUGGUUAACUCUUCAUUAAAUAGAAGCUUUCACUAUCCUGGAAGAACAUCAGUUGUAUUUGGAAACAUAUAUGGCUUUUUGCUUUGACAACUGCCAGAGCUACCAUACUCAAAGGCUUGAUGAUCUACUACUGAAUUUGAAAGGGAAAACCACAAAAAAUUUACAAGCACACUACAGAAAGAUGUCAAAAUUUCCCAGAAGAGGUAGAUGUGACUGAAUAGUUUAAACGCACUGUCGUGAAAUUCUAGACACAUCGAACUUAAUGCAAGCACAUAUCUCAAAUGCAGAAUAGAGGACAAUAAGUUCAAUACACAUGCACAUAUGUAAUAUUCUAUGAGAAAGAUGAAAUAACUUCUGAUGGGGAAGAGGGAGGAAAGACAUUAAGAACUGUUACUAAGAGCCAAACAGCAAUUAAUUCAAGGUUUUCCUGUAGGACAAAAGGACUGAAGUCGUUUUGUUCUUAACAGGUUUUUAAGAAUAAAUUUCGAAGCUUUGAAAAGCCAUAAGCUUACAUGCUUGCUGUUUUCAGAGUGCAUUUCUGACCAACCCAUUAUUAUGCUUACAAAACUACAGAAGUAUGCAUUCAUAACAGAACAAGAAAUCAUGUCAGUUUACAAAAUCAAAGACACAUUUCUGAAACAAAAACUUGUUGUUAAUGAGGCAGAUGACUCUGGAGGAAACAUAAUAUUUAGAAUUCUUUAGUGGAUUGAAUCAGUGCAGACACGUUAACUGGACCAAUCAGGUCUCAAAGUGUUUUGUUGUUGUUGUAAAGGACAGAAAAAAUUGGAGCAACAAUCACAGUGUCCCAAAGAAAAAUGUUUUGACUCAAGAAUUAUAUUUCCAGCCAAUUUGUCAUUGAUUUAUGAACCCGUUGAUAUAAACAAAUAUACUAAACAACUGUCAUUAGGGAAGUGCCAGUUAUAAUGAAUCAUAUCGCAUAGGCCCAUUCCAACAUUUGUAUUUAAGUGAAAUCAUGUUAAGUGAACAUCAGGUUGGGUUUUCAUAGAAACGCAAGUCAUGAAGCAAUUCACUUGAGGAGACAGUGAAGGGGGUAAGUGGUUAUUUCACCAAAAAAUGUUGUUGAAGCAGCAGUAAGAAUUACUAAUUUCCUUAGGCCUCUACCUCUUAUUAUAUUUCCCUUAAUUUUUUUGUGGGCAAAAUGGGAAUCCAUGAUCCAAUCACCUCUCACAAGGUCCCUCCCCCAACACAAGGGAUUACAAUUUGGAUUUAGCCCUUUUGAUUUAACACUAUCAAAAUUCAAUUCCAAGGGAUGAAUAUAUACUUCCAUGAUAUAUUAGUCUAUUUGGGCUGCCAUAAUGGAAUACCAUAUAUUGGGUGG